rnacentral:rRNA from 1 species
GACGAACGCUGGCGGCGUGCUUAACACAUGCAAGUCGAACGAUGAAGCCGGAGCUUGCUCUGGUGAAUUAGUGGCGAACGGGUGAGUAACACGUGAGUAACCUGCCCUUGACUCUGGAAUAACUGCGGGAAACUGUAGCUAAUACCGGAUACGACCCUCGGAGGCAUCUCCUGGGGGUGGAAAGAAUUUCGGUCAAGGAUGGACUCGCGGCAUAUCAGCUAGUUGGUGAGGUAAAGGCUCACCAAGGCGAGGACGGGUAGCCGGCCUGAGAGGGUGACCGGCCACACUGGGACUGAGACACGGCCCAGACUCCUACGGGAGGCAGCAGUGGGGAAUAUUGCACAAUGGGCGCAAGCCUGAUGCAGCAACGCCGCGUGAGGGAUGACGGCCUUCGGGUUGUAAACCUCUUUUAGCAGGGAAGAAGCGAAAGUGACGGUACCUGCAGAAAAAGCACCGGCUAACUACGUGCCAGCCGCCGCCGUAA